GUGGGGAAUCUUAGACAAUGGGGGCAACCCUGAUCUAGCCAUGCCGCGUGAGUGAUGAAGGCCUUAGGGUUGUAAAGCUCUUUCAGUGGGGAAGAUAAUGACGGUACCCACAGAAGAAGCCCCGGCUAACUCCGUGCCAGCAGCCGCGGUAAUACGGAGGGGGCUAGCGUUGUUCGGAAUUACUGGGCGUAAAGCGCACGUAGGCGGAUCGGAAAGUUGGGGGUGAAAUCCCAGGGCUCAACCCUGGAACUGCCUUCAAAACUAUCGGUCUGGAGUCCGAGAGAGGUGAGUGGAAUUCCGAGUGUAGAGGUGAAAUUCGUAGAUAUUCGGAGGAACACCAGUGGCGAAGGCGGCUCACUGGCUCGGUACUGACGCUGAGGUGCGAAAGCGUGGGGAGCAAACAGGAUUAGAUACCCGGGUAGUCC
rnacentral:rRNA from 1 species